CCCAGAGGUAUUGAUAGGUGAAGUCAGCGACUUAGCUGAUCACAACACUUACACCAACCUGCGCGGAUGCGCAGGUUUUUUUU
rnacentral:sRNA from 3 species